rnacentral:lncRNA from 1 species
GUAACUUCAAAGAUGUUACUACUUCCUUCUUAGUAGUAGACGGACUGCUACUACCAAGACUGGACAGACUCCCAAGCUGCUGUUGUGCUGAAGAACCACUGCUGAUUUGUCUCCUGGUGACUGCACAUAGAGUACAUAAGCCAGAUGAAAGACCCACAAAGUGAGGACUCCCUCAUGUUCUGACUCAGGAAAGGCGACACCNCAAAUCAUUCACAAGAAACGGCCUUGAUGCACUCUUGAUGCACAAGAAACUGCACCUUGAUGCAGGCAUCACUGAAAUUCUCGGGAGUUCCUAUAGCCAACACUGCUUCCUACAGCUGAACUUCAGGAGACUGAGGACCCUGCCAGACCCUGCCAGCUAACCCCAAGCUGUGUUCCUACCAUGGAGGGCCUAGAGACACACUGAGAGGGUGACAAUUGAUCAUCAAGCUAUGCUCAUGAUAGCCAACAAGGUUACCAAGGAAAAUCUACAACAGCCUGUCUGGAAAAAAAAAUCAGUAUAAAAAAAUCAAAUGCAGAAAGUAUUCU